AAGAAAGCUUCUUCUCGAGCUUUUCUCAAGGCAAAAAGUUCUCUAGACCUGUCAUCUUUAGAUUGAUCAAUAGAACUGAUCGCUUUCUGUUGUUAAGAAUACUCUCGGAUGUUGACUUUGUAUAUUUUAAUCCUAAUAAUGAGAAAGUGUGAAAAUCACACCCAACCUUUGACACCUGGCAGAAAGUACCUAAAGUCGGCCGCCCGCCAGAAGCAAUACCAAUAGCCGUAAGAUUGGAAAGUUGCUUUUAAGCCCAAGAGCAACCAAACGGGUGCCCCAAUGAAGUAGCUUCCCCUGCCGUCCCCUCCAUUCUGUCCUCCUGUAAUCUGUGAAGCUUCAACGACCAAAACCAACUAUGGCUGAGUUUCAGUCUAGCUUGUAACACGCAUAAAGCGCUUGCUUAAAAGCAAUAUUUGCUUCCUGUGUUUCCUUCAUGAGAUUGCUAUAACUUUCUAUGCAAGUAGCUUCACUGUAUGUGCCAAGUCUUUCAUAUUUCUUUCACGAAGCAAGUAGUAAAUAAAUUCAUCUUAGAAAAGCAAGAACUUGAACUUUGUUUUGGAGAAUGGUUGUAAAUAAAGAAAUUUUCUCUAUAAAAGGGAUGUCUAAAAUUAAAAGAAGCUAAAUACAAAUAAUAAGCUGUUACGUGCUUACUGAAGAACACAGUUAGUGCAGUCUUAAAGGAUUGGGGAUGAUGAAAACCUUGACAUAUAUGCACAAUUGAACUGAGGAAUAAGAACUGACGAAGAAGAACA
rnacentral:lncRNA from 1 species